UUAUUAACAACUCGUUAAUCAUCAUUGUCUUGUUAAUUAUUUUAUCUAAUUGUUUUUACCAAAUUUUAAAUUGUGAAUUAUCUAUUGGUUCAUGUCAAUUUGAAUUCAAUUUUCAAAUCUCUCAGUUUACUCUUAAAUAUUUCAAGUGUUGUGUACAAGCAAUCAGAGUUUAUAUGAUAUAAGAUAGGAUGCAUUGCAAUUCAAUUUACUGCUCAAUUGGGGAAGGUGGUUAAGAAGUUCAUUCUUCCUCAACAUCUACUCGAUUUGAAACUUCACUGUGCUGGUUAUUCUGAAAAGCCCGAGACAAUAUUACAACUGCCUUAUUCUCAUACACUGAUUGAUAACUAUGUACAAUACCAUAGAAAUUGAAGCUUCAAUUGUCAAACUGGUUUCUCUUGCUGAUUGUUAACCUGAUUCAAUUCAUGAAGGAUAAGGAAGAAAGGAGGAAAAGAAAAAGGUAAAGCACUGGAAAAGGAGUAAAGAGAAAUAGUAUUCAUUGGUAAUAGUUUCAAAGGUGGAAAACGAAAUAGAAACGAGAUAUUGGUUACAUUGAAAUUGAAACUUUAUGUGUAUUGCUGAUAGGAACAAGGAAAAGUCUGCUCUUCAAAUCAGUUGAACGAAAAAAAAGAAAGAAAUAGGAACCUUCAAUCUUCAAGCAUCAUAGUUAUAUUCAUUCAUUCAUCUAUCUUCAUGAUUAUUUGAAUGGAUAAAUGAGCUACAAAAGGAAAUACAUUAUAUUUACAAGGAGAAAUUGGUUUCCUAUCAAAAGAAGAGGACAAAAAAGAUUCAACUUUUUUUCUCAUUUUGACUGGUUUCACGUUUUUUCACCAUCAUAGUCAGGAGUAUUAUCAUUGCAGCCUUUUCCACCAAUUUAUUCAUCCUAAAUUUCAAGCCAUCUUUGAAAAUAACUAUACCAAUAGGACCUCCAUACUAACUUUCAUAAUUGAUCAGAGGCUCACUUGAGCAAACGAAAUCAACAUCACAAUAAUCGAUUAUUGAUUACGCUUUACAUAUAUGUGUAUUCGAGUUGGUGAAAAAAAGACAGUUCUGACAAGUAAAAGAUCUCAAGACAAAGAAGAAAAGAAAAAAUUGUCCAAAAGAAUUGGGAAGAUUGAUCAUUGAUUCUGGUGUUGAUACUGGAUUUUUUAUACACGUUAACCAACUCUCCAUAAAAUAGAUCACAUUGGUUAUCAGGUUAUCCAAAUAAUCUCACAGUUUUUUAUCAUUUAACUUCUCGCACUUUUCCUUUCGCCUUUCAACAGUUUCCUCCUCAGGUUAACAUUACUUUUUGUUUUUCUCUUUAGUUACAGGUCAUUAAUUGGUCACUUUGGUCGUUUUUGGUGAUUUAUUACCCAAAACAAACAAAGGAAAUACUCAAAAUGCAAGAGCAAUCUUAAUGAUCCUUGUGAAGAGAAAGAUGUAAAUCAACAUUGUUCACCUAAUUUACAUCUUUCCAGAGCUCAUAUACGCAAGCUAUUAAUAAAACAAAAGGAAUUUCAA